UACGGGGGGGGCAAGCGUUGUUCGGAAUUACUGGGCGUAAAGGGUUCGUAGGUGGCUUGCUAAGUCAGACGUGAAAUCCCUCAGCUUAACCGGGGAACUGCGUCUGAUACUGGAUGGCUUGAGUUCGGGAGAGGGAUGCGGAAUUCCAGGUGUAGCGGUGAAAUGCGUAGAUAUCUGGAGGAACACCGGUGGCGAAGGCGGCAUCCUGGACCGAUACUGACACUGAGGAGCGAAAGCCAGGGGAGCAAACGGG
rnacentral:rRNA from 1 species